rnacentral:rRNA from 1 species
UGGGGAAUUUUGGACAAUGGGCGCAAGCCUGAUCCAGCCAUGCCGCGUGCGGGAAGAAGGCCUUCGGGUUGUAAACCGCUUUUGUCAGGGAAGAAAUCUUCUGAGUUAAUACCUCGGGAGGAUGACGGUACCUGAAGAAUAAGCACCGGCUAACUACGUGCCAGCAGCCGCGGUAAUACGUAGGGUGCAAGCGUUAAUCGGAAUUACUGGGCGUAAAGCGUGCGCAGGCGGUUUUGUAAGACAGAGGUGAAAUCCCCGGGCUCAACCUGGGAACUGCCUUUGUGACUGCAAGGCUUGAGUGCGGCAGAGGGGGGAAUGGAAUUCCGCGUGUAGCAGUGAAAUGCGUAGAUAUGCGGAGGAACACCGAUGGCGAAGGCAAUCCCCCUGGGCCUGCACUGACGCUCAUGCACGAAAGCGUGGGGAGCAAACAGGAUUAGAUACCCUGGUAGUCCACGCCCUAAACGAUGUCAACUGGUUGUUGGGAAGGUUCCUUCUCAGUAACGUAGCUAACGCGUGAAGUUGACCGCCUGGGGAGUACGGCCGCAAGGUUG